rnacentral:misc_RNA from 1 species
CAGAGUACCGGUGCCUCCGGGCGCCUACUCCCACCCCUUGCUCACCUUUAAAACCGUUGCUUUGGCGUGCCGGCGGCCUGACCGCCGCCCCCCGGCCCCCGGGCUGGGGAGCGCCCGCCAGAGGACCCAUCAAACCCGCUCAACAGUGGAAUCUGAGUCUAAAAACAAAAAGUCA